rnacentral:rRNA from 1 species
CUACGGGAGGCAGCAGUGAGGAAUAUUGGUCAAUGGGCGCAAGCYUGAACCAGCCAUGCCGCGUGCAGGAAGACGGUCCUAUGGAUUGUAAACUGCUUUUAUUUGGGAAUAAACCUCAUCUACGUGUAGAUAGCUGAAGGUACCAAAUGAAUAASCACCGGYUAACUCCGUGCCAGCAGCCGCGGUAAUA